AAUGAACGCUGGCGGCGCGCCUAAUACAUGCAAGUCGAGCGAGAAGACGUAGCAAUACGUUUGUAAAGCGGCGAACGGGUGAGGAAUACAUGGGUAACCUACCCUAGAGUGGGGAAUAACUAGCCGAAAGGUUAGCUAAUACCGCGUACGCUCCUUGGACUUCGGUUCAGGGAGGAAAGCGAUGCCGAGGGUAUCGCGCUCUUGGAUGGGCUCAUGUCCUAUCAGCUUGNGGUGAGGUAACGGCUCACCAAGGCUUCGACGGGUAGCUGGUCUGAGAGGACGAUCAGCCACACUGGCACUGCGACACGGGCCAGACUCCUACGGGAGGCAGCAGUAAGGAAUAUUGCGCAAUGGGCGAAAGCCUGACGCAGCGACGCCGCGUGGGGGAGUGAAGGUC
rnacentral:rRNA from 1 species